rnacentral:rRNA from 1 species
UGGGGAAUAUUGCGCAAUGGGCGAAAGCCUGACGCAGCGACGCCGCGCGAGGGAUGAAGGUUUUCGGAUCGUAAACCUCUGUCAGAAGGGAAGAAACCGCACUGUGCUAAUCAGCAGUGCCUUGACGGUACCUUCAAAGGAAGCACCGGCUAACUCCGUGCCAGCAGCCGCGGUAAUACGGAGGGUGCAAGCGUUAAUCGGAAUUACUGGGCGUAAAGCGCACGUAGGCUGCUUUGUAAGUCAGGGGUGAAAUCCCACGGCUCAACCGUGGAACUGCCUUUGAUACUGCUUAGCUUGAAUCCGGGAGAGGGUGGCGGAAUUCCAGGUGUAGGAGUGAAAUCCGUAGAUAUCUGGAGGAACAUCAGUGGCGAAGGCGGCCACCUGGACCGGUAUUGACGCUGAGGUGCGAAAGCGUGGGGAGCAAACAGG